rnacentral:ncRNA from 1 species
AUGUUGCAUGGCGGGUGCUCAUAUAGAAUCAUCGAUCGGCAUUCCUUCAUUGGCAAUUGCAAGACGAUGAGAACUAUAUUGGCUGAGAUUAUACCGCUGAACCUGAUCAGGGCAAUGCCUGCGCAGGAACAAUGCUCCAUUCCCUCC